rnacentral:tRNA from 1 species
UCCUCCUUAGCUCAGUUGGUUAGAGCAUCUGACUGUUAAUCAGAGGGUCCAAGGUUCGAGCCCUUGAGGAGGAG